ACAAUGUUUUAUGGAGCGCAUUUGCAUGUAGUGUAACGUAUGGUGUAACAAAAACCUAACAAUAGGAAACAGAUGUUCCUGACAAAAUUUUUAUUCCGGAAACAUAUUAACCGUCACGGGGGAGGACAGAUUCUUCGCAGCGGAUCGGGCAACUCACAAUCUACAGAUCAGCGCACAACAUAACCAAUCAAAAAACAGCAAACAUUACGGAAUUAUAAGCUCCUACAUGUGGGAUAUAGAUACUCUGCUCUACAGAGGCAACGGAGGCGAUGACAAUCAUCACCGCGACAAACACGGAGAGGACAACAGCAAGGAAAGCAGCUCGCGACCUCAUGGCUAGGGAUUUCAUUUUGUUCGUGACCUCAUGGUUAGGGAUUUUAAUUUUGUUUUACAUUUUUUUAUUCAUAGGCGAAAAGAUCGAAAUUCAUGAAAUUUCAUAGAAAAUUUGACCAUUUUUCAUCUUCUAUGUGGGUCCUACAAGUCAGUGAUAGAAAAACUCGGAAUUAGAUAUUUUGUUCCUCUCUGAAAUUUCAAAAAAUCUGAAAAUCACAAAAUUUCAUAAAUAUUUCGGGCUCCCUAUGCGGAUAACAUCAAGGAAAGUCUGCCAUAGAACGUAAGUGCUCUCGGCCAGUCAGUGUUUCCCGUACCAAGCUGCACGAAGAUGAUCAAUGAAGAGGAGUAGCGAUAACAAGUUAACAUAUAGUUCUUAAACUGUACUAUUAUACUAGUUCAGAAUCAUGUGAAAUUUUUUUUCUUUUUUGAAACGGGGAAUAAUAUAGAGAGGUACAAUUACUCGAAUUGUGGACAAACACUAAUUCUUGUAAAAAUCUUUCCCAUGUCCAAUCGUAU